CAGGUUUUGGCAUUGACUUGCGUUUGAAUAGCUGUGGGUGAGAGACGUACAACAGCGCUGAGAUAGCAAACGCGCGAUCUUUCUCUUUCAGACCAAACGCUGCGGGCUACACGCCGGGGAUUGCUGGAAAUAUUACAUUUCUACCGGACAAUAAGAGUUUCCUUUAACGGAUUGCAGAGUUUGGACUCAAAUCGGAGGCUGCGCCGCGCACCAAACAAACGAACGUGCCUUUUUGUCCACGCGCUCAGGAGCGUGUUGGCGCAGCACUGAAUAACUAUUGUAGCGGUAGGUGAUUGAUAAGGCAAGUGUUUCCAGCCCAGACAGACACGUUUUCAUAAGGCACAGCUGGUUGCGCUGGCGUGGACUGUUUUUUGCCAUCAUUUGUUAGACAUAAGGCAGUUUAUUCCUGUUUAUUGCAAACGACUUCUUGGAUACUGGAUGGCUGUCCGAAGGGGAAUACAACGGAUGCAGGACCAAGCCGGGAAUGCCAUUUGUUCACGAGCAGCAUAAACGAGCUUUGUUGCGCGGUGUUUUUACCCGGGGACAGGUGUCGUUGUGUACGUUGGGGCGGGGGGUUAGUUGUUGGGGGUUCGGACACAGUUGUCUUAAGGAUGUCAGCUCAGGGAUCAGAUCUGCACAGAGACAGGUGCGAUAGAGAGGAGUAGAUUUCACGUGGACCCCUCCUCUCUUCUCCUCUCAAUCAUUCUGGAUUAUAGUCCCGAGGAGGCGAGUCAUUCACAGAGAACCGGGCUCAACGUUUCCCGCGGCUGUUAUCGACACUGUCAGAGAUUUUAUGGUUGUGUGGAACGAUUCACCUGGGAGCACCAAGUAAACACCAGAUAUUGUGAAGCAAAAGAAAAGCCCCCCACCCCUUCGAUGGAUCUGAUUCAAAACAUACACCAUUCACAUUUGAUAUGCUUUCAGGAUGCUGUACGCACACCCUCCACAGAAAUCCCUCUCUACAGUGUUUCCAUAAACAGAGCGCUGCACAGACAGGCUGUCUGAGGUCUGAUAAGGAGUCGUGAGAGAGGACACUGAUGGGGAGUGAAAGAGAGGAGGAAGUUUUCCCAUGUUCAGCUAAAACGACAGUGUGGAACC
rnacentral:lncRNA from 1 species